GUGACGAUGAUUCAGCUUAGUGGCGGACGGGUGAGUAACGCGUGAGCAACCUGCCUUUCAGUGGGGGACAACAGUUGGAAACGACUGCUAAUACCGCAUAAUAUCCUUUUGGGGCAUCCCUUUUGGAUCAAAGAUUUAUUGCUGAAAGAUGGGCUCGCGUCUGAUUAGCUAGUUGGUGGGGUAACGGCCCACCAAGGCGACGAUCAGUAGCCGGACUGAGAGGUUGAACGGCCACAUUGGGACUGAGAUACGGCCCAGACUCCUACGGGAGGCAGCAGUGGGGAAUAUUGGGCAAUGGGGGAAACCCUGACCCAGCAACGCCGCGUGAGGGAAGAAGGUCUUCGGAUUGUAAACCUCUUUUACCAGGGAAGAAGAAAGUGACGGUACCUGGAGAAAAAGCCACGGCUAACUACGUGCCAGCAGCCGCGGUAAUACGUAGGUGGCAAGCGUUGUCCGGAUUUACUGGGUGUAAAGGGCGUGUAGGCGGGAAGACAGGUCAGAUGUGAAAUGCCGGGGCUCAACUCCGGAGCUGCAUUUGAAACCGUUUUUCUUGAGUAUCGGAGAGGCAGGCGGAAUUCCUAGUGUAGCGGUGAAAUGCGUAGAUAUUAGGAGGAACACCAGUGGCGAAGGCGGCCUGC
rnacentral:rRNA from 1 species